AGGUUAGUGCAAUGGCAUAAGCCAGCUUGACUGCGAGCGUGACGGCGCGAGCAGGUGCGAAAGCAGGUCAUAGUGAUCCGGUGGUUCUGAAUGGAAGGGCCAUCGCUCAACGGAUAAAAGGUACUCCGGGGAUAACAGGCUGAUACCGCCCAAGAGUUCAUAUCGACGGCGGUGUUUGGCACCUCGAUGUCGGCUCAUCACAUCCUGGGGCUGAAGUAGGUCCCAAGGGUAUGGCUGUUCGCCAUUUAAAGUGGUACGCGAGCUGGGUUUAGAACGUCGUGAGACAGUUCGGUCCCUAUCUGCCGUGGGCGCUGGAGAACUGAGGGGGGCUGCUCCUAGUACGAGAGGACCGGAGUGGACGCAUCACUGGUGUUCGGGUUGUCAUGCCAAUGGCACUGCCCGGUAGCUAAAUGCGGAAGAGAUAAGUGCUGAAAGCAUCUAAGCACGAAACUUGCCCCGAGAUGAGUUCUCCCUGACUCCUUGAGAGUCCUGAAGGAACGUUGAAGACGACGACGUUGAUAGGCCGGGUGUGUAAGCGCAGCGAUGCGUUGAGCUAACCGGUACUAAUGAACCGUGAGGCUUAACCUUACAACGCCGAAG
rnacentral:rRNA from 1 species